UCUAUCAUAGGAGGUGGUGAGAAAGCCCGAGCACUUCACAUAUCAAGAGGAAAACUAUUGCCCAGAGAAAGAAUUGACAAUCUCAUAGACCCAGGGUCUCCAUUUCUGGAAUUAUCCCAGUUUGCAGGUUACCAGUUAUAUGACAAUGAGGAGGUGCCAGGAGGUGGCAUUAUUACAGGCAUUGGAAGAGUAUCAGGAGUAGAAUGCAUGAUUAUUGCCAAUGAUGCCACCGUCAAAGGAGGUGCCUACUACCCAGUGACUGUGAAAAAACAAUUACGGGCCCAAGAAAUUGCCAUGCAAAACAGGCUCCCCUGCAUCUACUUAGUUGAUUCGGGAGGAGCAUACUUACCUCGACAAGCAGAUGUGUUUCCAGAUCGAGACCACUUUGGCCGUACAUUCUAUAAUCAGGCAAUUAUGUCUUCUAAAAAUAUUGCACAG
rnacentral:misc_RNA from 1 species